rnacentral:misc_RNA from 1 species
GAUGAAGAACGUAGCGAAAUGCGAUAAGUAAUGUGAAUUGCAGAAUUCAGUGAAUCAUCGAAUCUUUGAACGCACAUUGCGCCCGCCAGUAUUCUGGCGGGCAUGCCUGUCCGAGCGUCAUUUCAACCCUCGGGCCCCCCUCUGCGGGCGGCCCGGCGUUGGGGCUCAGGCGCCGUCUCUGCUCGGCGCCUGUCCCCUAAAUGCAGUGGCGGCCUCGCCGCUGCCUCCUCCGCGUAGUAGCACAAACCUCGCGGCUGGAAGGCGGCGCGGCCACGCCGUAAAACCCCCCAAAUUUACCAAGGUUGACCUCGGAUCAGGUAGGAAUACCCGCUGAACUUAAGCAUAUCAAUAAGCGGAGGA